UACGUAGGGUGCGAGCGUUGUCCGGAAUUAUUGGGCGUAAAGAGCUCGUAGGCGGUCUGUCGCGUCGAUCGUGAAAACUUGGGGCUUAACCCUGAGCUUGCGGUCGAUACGGGCAUGACUGGAGUUCGGCAGGGGAGACUGGAAUUCCUGGUGUAGCGGUGAAAUGCGCAGAUAUCAGGAGGAACACCGGUGGCGAAGGCGGGUCUCUGGGCCGAUACUGACGCUGAGGAGCGAAAGCGUGGGGAGCGAACCGG
rnacentral:rRNA from 1 species